rnacentral:rRNA from 1 species
CGCAGAUCAGCAUGCUGUGGUGAAUACGUUCCCGGGCCUUGUACACACCGCCCGUCACACCAUGAGAGUUGGGAAUACCCGAAGCCUGUGAGCCAACUUUAAAAGAGGCAGCAGUCGAAGGUAGAAUCAAUGAUUGGGGUGAAGUCGUAACAAGGUACC